rnacentral:pre_miRNA from 1 species
ACCUAGUGCUGGAUAUGACACAAAUUAGUAUUAAAUUUGGAUAGACUCUUAUGUACUCCCUUGGAUUAGUAUUUUUAUUGGUAUUAGAUGAUAAAAUAUGAAUAGUACUUUAUAUGUGACUAUUUUUUUAAAUUUUUUUAUAAAUUUUUUAAAUAAGACGGACGGUCAAACGUUGGACACGGAUAUCCACGACUGCACUUAUU